rnacentral:rRNA from 1 species
UACGAAGGGGGCUAGCGUUGCUCGGAAUGACUGGGCGUAAAGGGCGCGUAGGCGGUUUGUACAGUCAGGUGUGAAAUUCCCGGGCUCAACCUGGGGGCUGCACUCGAUACGUAUGGACUGGAGUGGGGAAGAGGGUCGUGGAAUUCCCAGUGUAGAGGUGAAAUUCGUAGAUAUUGGGAAGAACACCGGUGGCGAAGGCGGCGACCUGGUCCUUGACUGACGCUGAGGCGCGAAAGCGUGGGGAGCAAACAGG